CCUACGAGUGGCAGCAGUGAGGAAUCUUGGUCAAUGGGCGAAAGCCUGAUCCAGCCAAGUCGCGUGAAGGAUGACGGCCCUACGGGUUGUAAACUUCUUUUGUCAGUGCGCAGUUGGGUCCACGCGUGGGCUUAGCGAUAGUACCUGCAGAAAGAGCAUCGGCUAACUCAGUGCCAGCCGCCGCGGUAAUACGGAGGAUGCGAGCUUUAUCCAGAUGGAUUGGGUGAAAAGGGUGCGUAGGCGGAAUAUCAAGUCAGCGGGAAAAAUUCGUGGCGCAACCCCGUCGUGCCGUGGAUACUGAUGUUCUUGAGUGGGCGAGAGGUAUGCGGAAUGCGUGGUGUAGCGGUGAAAUGCAUAGAUAUCACGCAGAACUCCGAUUGCGAAGGCAGCAUACCGGCGCCCAACUGACGCUGAAGCACGAAAGCGUGGGUAUCGAACAGGAUUAGAUACCCUAGUAGUC
rnacentral:rRNA from 1 species